GAUGAACGCUGGCGGCGUGCCUAAUACAUGCAAGUCGUACGGAAAGGCCCUUCGGGGUACUCGAGUGGCGGACGGCUGAGUAACGCGUGGGAACGUGCCCCAAAGUGAGGGAUAACGCACCGAAAGGUGUGCUAAUACCGCAUAUGGCCUUCGGAUUAAAGCUCCGGCGCUUUGGGAGCGGCCCGCGUACGAUUAGAUAGUUGGUGAGGUAAUGGCUCACCAAGUCGACGAUCGUUAGCUGGUCUGAGAGGAUGAUCAGCCAGACUGGGACUGAGACACGGCCCAGACUCCUACGGGAGGCAGCAGUAAGGAAUCUUCCACAAUGGGGGCAACCCUGAUGGAGCAACGCCGCGUGCAGGAUGAAGGUUUUCGGAUCGUAAACUGCUUUUAUAAGUGAAGAAUAUGACGGUAACUUAUGAAUAAGGAUCGGCUAACUACGUGCCAGCCGCCGCGGUAA
rnacentral:rRNA from 1 species